UCUGUCAUUCCACGCAGUAGAAGUCGGAAGCCUUGACAGCUUUGUACACUUCUGUCUUAUUAACGUGCUUUGGUUAGCCUCAAACUUUUGAUCUUCCUGCUUCAGCCUCUCAAGUACCUGGGAACACAGGCAUCCACCAUCACACCUGGCUACUGCAAAGCAUUUGUUUACUAAUUAACAAUUAACGUAUUAUGUCACCACUGGAAGCCUCAAAAAUUCCACGAAGGUCUCACUUGUAGAUCAGACUGGCCUGGAACUCACUA